UUAUGUUGUCAUUUUAAUGUUAUAUUUAACAUUGCCAUUAAAGAGUGAGGUUUGGCAUGCCACAAAACCAGGUUCAACCCACUAUUUUUUUCUUUAAAAAUAUCCUGUACCAAGUCAGGAAAAUGGCCAUUGUUAUAUCAUAUUUCGUUUCUGUGUGUGUAACAUUUUUACGUUGUGUUUCCGUUGUGUCGUUUGUUUUCUC
rnacentral:lncRNA from 1 species